rnacentral:tRNA from 1 species
GACUGCUUGGCCGAGUGGUUAAGGCGAUUGACUUGAAAUCAAUUGGGUUCAUCCCGCGUAGGUUCGAACCCUGCAGCAGUCG